AAAAACAUAAAAAAAAUUAAAUUAAAUUACUCAAAAAAAAAUGAGGGACCAAUUAUAUUGCAUAACCUAAAUUUUUUGUUUGAAAUGAUAAUUUGACGUGCCACGUUAACUUACCGUUAUACCAUUGACGACAAUUAAUGGCUCAAUGACUAAAAUGUUACAAUACGUUAACGUAAAUGACUAAAAUAUAACAUUUCAAAUAUAAAUUACUAAAAUAUAACAUGAGAUAAACAAAAAUGACUAUUUUAAUAGUUUACCCUUAAUUCUAUUCAAUUUAAAUUUAUAAGAUAAAAAAAACGUUAUUAUCUUUGUACGGGCCCAAUUUUGCCGGCCCGUUUAAAUAAAAACCCAAAAUAUAAGCAGUCCACUUACAAAAAGUUUUAACCCAAUUAUAAACCAUUAACCUAAACCACUAACCCCUUUACAGAUUAGGCCCGUUAGCCCAAGACCUAAACUCAUGUUUAGGAAAAUGAAAACCCUAGCUCACCCUUGCGCCGUACCCCCCUCCCAUGUGCGCCCUCGGCACGCACGAUGCCCGAUGGCUGCUUCCUUGCACCAAAAUGGCCGGUUUUCACCCCCGUUGACCCUCCAUGGACCUGCAAACAUGGCAAAGAAAGGAAAAAGUAAAAGCAGUGCCAAAACAGUAGCAAACAAUAGAUUUCUGUAUUCGGCUAUAUAGCCACAAACACAAAAGGAUUGUAAUACACGAUUAAGCAAUAAAAAAAACAACAAACAAAAAAAGGUUGAGUCUCGUUCUCUCGUUUUUUUACUUUCAGUUUCUUUAUUUUAAUUUCUGUUCUUAAAUCAGUUUUUUAACACAAAUAUAUAGAAGAAAAUAGAAAAGAGGAAUUACCUGGAAACCCGGAGCCGGUUGUCGGUCGUCGGAGCCCCUGUUUUGUCGUUGAGACCGAUUCCCAAAAGGAAAAAGGAGGUUUCUUCUCUCGAGUUCUCGAGCCAAGUAAAGCACCAUCUUCGGGUGCCCUAAGCCAGAGUCAAAAAACCCCUUCGCACGGCCUCAACCACCGCCCUCGGUGGUAUUGUGCAUGACGGUGACGAUCGGUUUCUUUUGAAACCCUAAUAGAGCACAAAUCGGGAGGGGGGUUGUUCUUUUUAGAAAAUGAAGCAAAAAAAAAGUGUUAAAACUUGGUUUAAAUGGUGC
rnacentral:lncRNA from 1 species